UACGUAGGGUGCGAGCGUUAAUCGGAAUUACUGGGCGUAAAGCGUGCGCAGGCGGUUUUGUAAGCCAGGUGUGAAAUCCCCGGGCUUAACCUGGGAAUGGCAUUUGGGACUGCAAGGCUGGAGUGUGGCAGAGGAGACUGGAAUUCCUGGUGUAGCAGUGAAAUGCGUAGAUAUCAGGAGGAACACCGAUGGCGAAGGCAGGUCUCUGGGCUGACACUGACGCUCAUGCACGAAAGCGUGGGGAGCAAACAGG
rnacentral:rRNA from 1 species